CCCUUAGAUGUUCUGGGCCGCACGCGUGCUACACUGAGUGGAUCAGCGGGUCAGGUUGCGCGAAAGUGUUUCCUAAUCUUUAAAUGCGCUCGUGAUGGGGAUUGACGGUUGCAAUUUUCCGUCAUGAACGAGGAAUACCUUGUAAGCGCGGGUCAUCAUCCCGCGCUGAAUACGUCCCUGCCCUUUGUACACACCGCCCGUCGCUCCUACCGAUUGAGUGGUCCGGUGAGGCUUUGGGAUCUGAGCGGAAAGAGCGUUUCGCUGUUUCUGCCCGGAAAACUCAGUCGAACCUUAUCAUUUAGAGGAAGGAGAAGUCGUAACA
rnacentral:rRNA from 1 species